ACACCUCACACACACCCUGACCAGGGGAGCAGAACAAAUCCUCUGCGUCUCUUAUUAUUCAGAAACAGUAUCUUCCUUUUCACCGCUCCCAUUCUUCUUUAUAUCUCACCUCCCCUGAGACUUUAUCUGUCGGUGUGUGUGUGUGUUUCGUCCUGUAGGUAAAUGGUUCGUGAGCACAGGCAAAGAUAACCUCCUGAACGCAUGGCGGACACCUUAUGGAUCCAGCAUAUUCCAGUCUAAGGAGUCUUCGUCGGUCCUCAGCUGUGACAUCUCUCCUGACGAUCAGUUCAUCGUCACCGGCUCCGGGGACAAGAAGGCUACAGUCUACGAAGUUAUCUACUGAUCUCUGAUUGGCUGAAAAAAAAAACUAAUAAUCAGGGGGCGGGGCUGAGGCUCCCUCCUGCACCAAUGACUGUACAGAGCUUCGGUGGCAUGGAAAACAAGAGACACUCAACUCGUACUUUGUUGUUUUGUUUACGUUUGUGAAAGAAAUGAGAAAGAGAAGCAAAGGGGGCACAAAGUCACAUCUCUGGAAAAAAAACAAACUCUGUUUUUAAUGCUCUGAGAACGCUGGUUAGUCUAUAGCUGCGCAAAAUGUGGGAUUCCUCCAAAGAACUUUUGCUUUUGUUCCUUUUUUUGUUCCUUUUUUUUAACAAAAUAAAACCUCUGUAGUGAACAAGAAAUUAGCAACAAAAAAAAAUCUUAUUUUUUUAGCCUUUGAAUUUUUCGCAAACAGUUGGACUGCAUCAAGUGGAAGAAGACAGAUGUGUGGCUGAGGAGGGGAGGGGGGGAAGGGUUCAGGGGCUUAAUGGAAAAAUACUAUCCAUAUCUGUGCUGUGUAAAGAGUCCCACCCUGGGUCAGCUUGGCCCGGUUUGGCCCGGUCCGGAUACGUGCCGCUCCUCGGGGCAGCAGAUGUGUGGCAGAUGUGUGGCAGAUGUGAAGAUGGCGUGCUCUGAGGUUCCAGCUAUUUUUCUUUUCUCUCCUGGCUAAGUUUCAUGAGCAGCAACAUGAUUGUAUCAUCUCCAGUACUCACAAGACAGCACAGAGCUUCUUCUAAAGUCUCCUGAGAGUUUGUCUUUGUUCCUUUUCCGUCUUUAUAAAACAACAAAGCCAGACUUAUUGUGGAAAUAUGUUUAGGGAAAACCAGCCUGAAACCGGAAGCCACGACCCUGAAGACAGAAGUGAGUUCAAACCGCUCACAGGAGGUGAACUAAAUACAUAUUUGGGCCUCUCUGUCAUCGAAACACUCAACAUUAAAUGGGUUUUUUAAAUGUAUUUGUUAGGGCACAUAUAAGGCAGACAGGUAUUUUCACAACUGCAUCAUGAACCUUGCUAUAUAUGGACAUGUAAAUAAAGUUCUCUAAAGGCAAACGA